GAAAUGCGAUAAGUAAUGUGAAUUGCAGAAUUCAGUGAAUCAUCGAAUCUUUGAACGCACCUUGCGCCCUCCGGCAUUCCGGAGGGCAUGCCUGUUUGAGUGUCGCGUGAACACAUCACCCCGUACUGACAUCUCGUCGGUGCGGCGGUGGACUUGGACCGUGCUGCUGACCGCGGCUCGUCUUGAAAUGCAUCGGCCUGGCAUUCUGCGCGGGUAACCCACAGUGUGAUAAUUGUCAUCGCUGAGGGGGCCGCACGUCGCCGGGCCUUACCGCCUUCAGUGGCAAAACUUCAUUGCGCUCUGACCUCAAAUCAGGUAGGACUACCCGCUGAACUUAA
rnacentral:misc_RNA from 1 species